ensembl:snRNA LOC120094539 U4 spliceosomal RNA
AGCUUUGCGCAGUGGCAGUAUGGUAGCCAAUGAGGUUUAUCUGAGGCGCGAUUGUUGCUAAUUGAAAACUAUUGCUAGUUGCAAACUUUUCCCAGUUACUAACUUUUGUUUCCUUCUCACUACUUUGUCUCUCCUAAGUCCAAAGGAG